rnacentral:rRNA from 1 species
UGGUGGAGUGAUUUGUCUGGUUAAUUCCGUUAACGAACGAGACCUCAGCCUGCUAAUUAGUUUCGCAUUAUCGCCUGAUAGUACAAACUUCUUAGAGGGACUAUCGGAUUUUCAGCCGAUGGAAGUAUGAGGCAAUAACA